GAUGAACGCUAGCGACAGGCUUAACACAUGCAAGUCGAGGGGCAUCACGGGAGUAGCAAUACAACUGGUGGCGACCGGCGCACGGGUGAGUAACGCGUAUGCAACCUACCUAUCAGAGGGGAAUAACCCGGCGAAAGUCGGACUAAUACCGCAUAAAACAGGGGCACCGCAUGGUGAUAUUUGUUAAAGAAAUUCGCUGAUAGAUGGGCAUGCGUUCCAUUAGGUAGUUGGUGAGGUAACGGCUCACCAAGCCGACGAUGGAUAGGGGAACUGAGAGGUUGGUCCCCCACACUGGUACUGAGACACGGACCAGACUCCUACGGGAGGCAGCAGUGAGGAAUAUUGGUCAAUGGGCGGGAGCCUGAACCAGCCAAGUCGCGUGAAGGAAGAAGGAUCUAUGGUUCGUAAACUUCUUUUGCAGGGGAAUAAAGUGCAGGACGUGUCCUGUUUUGUAUGUACCCUGAGAAUAAGGAUCGGCUAACUCCGUGCCAGCAGCCGCCGCGG
rnacentral:rRNA from 1 species